AAUGAAUGGUGAAAAACUGUCUUGGUCCAAAUGUUAGAUACUGAUUAUACAGUUAAUGUUUGUAUCUGACAUU